GAUGAACGCUGGCGGCGUGCUUAACACAUGCAGGUCGAACGGAAAGGCUCCUGCUUGCAGGGGUACUCGAGUGGCGAACGGGUGAGUAACACGUGGGUGAUCUGCCCUGCACUUCGGGAUAAGCCUGGGAAACUGGGUCUAAUACCGGAUAGGACGAUGGUUUGGAUGCCAUUGUGGAAAGUUUUUCGGUGUGGGAUGAGCUCGCGGCCUAUCAGCUUGUUGGUGAGGUAAUGGCCUACCAAGGCGUCGACGGGUAGACGGCCUGAGAGGGUGGACGGCCACAUUGGGACUGAGUUACGGCCCAGACUCCUACGGGCGGCAGCAGUGGGGAAUAUUGCACAAUGGGCGCAAGCCUGAUGCAGCGACGCCGCGUGGGGGAUGACGGCCUUCGGUUUGUAACCUCCUUUCGCUAGGGACGAAGCGCAAGUGACGGUACCUGGAGAAGAAGCACCGGCUAACUACGUG
rnacentral:rRNA from 1 species